rnacentral:lncRNA from 1 species
UUUUUUUGUUCAUUUUUAAAAGAUGAUUUUUUUUAACGUCAUAUGGCGGUAGUUUCGUACAUAUUCAUUCCCACAGAAAGCUUCAUCUCUUGAUAUAAACUGUGAACGUUUAUUGUGUAUUUUAAUAUUCACAUACUUUGUAAGAUGUGUAUAAUGCCAAUAAUCAAAAUACAAAUUGGUUAAUCUCAAAGAAAACUUUAAAGAAUUUCUCAGGUUUGUAUGUUUAAUAGGUACAAUUUGG